rnacentral:rRNA from 1 species
GACGAAGGUGGCGAGCGUUGUUCGGAAUCACUGGGCAUAAAGCGCGCGUAGGCGGCUGAGUAAGUCAGGUGUGAAAGCCCUCGGCUCAACCGAGGAACUGCGCCUGAUACUGCUCGGCUUGAGGUCCGGAGGGGAGAGUGGAAUUCCCGGUGGAGCGGUGAAAUGCGUAGAGAUCGGGAAGAACGCCGGCGGCGAAAGCGACUCUCUGGUCGGAAUCUGACGCUGAGGCGCGAAAGCUAGGGGAGCAAACGGG